rnacentral:tRNA from 1 species
GUGGUGUAGCUCAGUGAUAGUGUGCUUGCCUAUUAUGUGCAAGACCCUGGUUUCAAUUCCCAGUACUACA